CUCUAAUCUAUUCAUUAUCAGCAUGGACUCAUAGAUAUUUAUUUUAUAUUUCCAAUACUACUUUAUUUUAUUGCUCAUAUUGCUCCAUUUUCCACCCUUGGGAGCUCUUUCGCUUGGUUCCUGGGUCCCUCUGACAGCCGCCGUCAUUGUGGGGGGGUUUCUGUGUGUUUGUUUGUUUUUGAGCACUUGUUUACUUUCUGUCCCUAAAAGAAGCUCCAGGCUCAUUUUGUGCGUCUCUUGCCGCAGUCCUAGAAUCAGUCAUUUCUCCAAGAAGAGUUGGUUCCUUUCAUUGCAGGAUGAGAUUAACAAACAAGAUCUGGGUGCUUGGUGCGUUUGUUGUUCCUGGGGUGUUCUUUUCCAGUUCUCUUUUAAAACAAUUUACUGCCCUCGGCUUUGUCAACUAUGUUAUUUUCAUAGCUAAAAUUUUCCAGCAAUUCAGUGAACUCUUCCAGGAAACAACCAAAGAUGGGUUCCUUUCUCCCACCCCGAGGUGUCUCUUCCAGUCUCUGCAGUGAGGCAGAAGACCUCAGCUUCUUGGGCUUCUGAGCUAGCUCUGAACACACGGCACCACUCCCUUCAAUGUUUCCUUAUGUUACGCUCAGUUUUGAAGAUAUUUUACGGAACGUGGAACACGGAACACUUCAGAUUUUCAACGAUGCUGGAUUUGAGCUGUUCACUUGAAAAUAAAGUCUGUUGCAUCACAAGUGCUGGUUGGCAUCGCUGUCCUCCUAUCAGUGGAUUAAGAAAAGGCACAGCGAAAAACUAGUUUAAAAUCACCAGUCGGAUAUUUUACAGGUGCUUUCUAUUCAGAAGAGGAUAAAAUACCUUGGAGAGAAAAAAGAUGGAAGAGAGAAGAAUUUCAAUUUUGGAUUAUUAUUUUUAGCUGGACAAAUUGAGAGGAAAAAGUUCUCAAAUUUUAUGUGAAAGAAGAUUUAUGAGAUAUGAAUGAACUGCUGUCAUUAGAUACCGCCUUAUUAUACGCCAGCUGGUCAUCAGCAUGGAGGAGUUCAAUGUGAAGAGCGAUUGCAGGGAAUAAAUUCUCCAUUCUUCACCCAUGGAGCUGAUGUUCUGGACCUGUCAACACUUUGCCCUAAUCCACUGGUGCAUUCUGACCUGAGGUGGUCGGGCACCAGGACCCCAGGAGGCUGUGGGAAGUGAGGGGCCAGCCUACUGGAGCCCACGUGGGACCAGGUGGAGCCUGCAACACGCAGUCCUCUCCCAGACAGCAGAUUGGGGGUUAGUAUCUGAGAGUAGCAGCCUGCAAGCCUGGACUUGCAUCCCGUCUGCCACUUACUUUCUACCUGCAUGAAGUUAAAGACUUUUAGCCUCUCUCAGCCUCAGUUUGCUUAUCUAUAAAGUGAGUGAAAAUUAUGCCCAUAUCAAAGGGCUUUACGGGUUAACAGUACUUGUUGAGCACCUUGCACUUAGCCUGGCAUACAGUUAAUAUGUAGUAAAUUAUUAUUUUUCAAAAUAGCAAAGCUAGUACUCUUGAAUUUGGCCCAGUUGAUACCAAGUUCUAAUCAAUGAUAUUAUAAGCCAUGAAUAUGCUUGUGGAAAAUAAACUCUGAAGAAUUUGGAUCAAUAGAGUGAAGGGAAAAGUUGAAUCGUUAUGGGGUUGAUGCAAGCCUAAAAGUUGUCUUCAAUCUGAACUGGUAAGCAAUGCUUACCAAUUUAGCAGACUAAAGUCUGUUCUCACACUGCUGAUAAAGACAUACCCAAGACUGGGUAAUUUAUAAAUAAAAAGAGUUUAAUGGACUCACAGUUCCAUGUGGCUGGGGAAGCCUCACAAUCAUGGCAGAAGGCAAUAGGCACAUCUUACAUGGUGGCAAACGAGAGAGAUUGAGGGCCAAGUGAAAGGGAUUUCCCCUUAUAAAACCAUUAGAUCUUGUGAGACUUAUUCACUGCCACAAGAAGAGUAUGGGGGAAACCAGCCCCAUGAUUCAAUUAUCUUCCACUGGGUCCCUCCCACAACACGUGGGAGUCAUGGGAGCUACAAUUCAAGAUGAGAUUUGGGUGGGGACACAGACAAGCCAAGCCAUAUCAAAUGCCCACCUUGCCUUCUGCAGAAGCUGACUGCUCAGGGCCAGCUGGCUUUGGCUCCUGCAGGUUUGGUCUCAGAGCAGGCAGCAACAAUGGUGGGCUUUGAACUCUGGCUGGGCAAUUCUUUCUUGAGAUUGGGACAAGCUGAAUGGGAAAGUCACCAUGCUUUUGUACGAGAUCUUCUCCUCUCCUCAGGGAGAGAAGCACCCCACUCUAACCCACAUAGGAAGAGCCAAUAUCUCAUCUUAUCCUCAGGAUAACUCCUGAGGGAGUGGGGAGGAACUGUUAUUAUUCCCAUAUCACAGAUGAAAUGACUCAGACAGGCUCAAAGUCACAGAAGAGCUGAGUGGUAGCAUGGGGUGAGCCCACAGGCAGUUUGACUGAAGAGAUGACACCCUCAGCCAGUGUCCUUCCCCUCUGGGUACGGAGCCUGUAAAGGUGUACCCUGAAGAUACAGAGGAAGGUAGCACACCAAAGAAGACUUUCCACAGAGACUGAUUUUAUUUCAUAUUUAUGGAUGCUAAUGUAGAGAGAAAUAAUAUUAAAUCCAUAGCAAUAGAUUAAAAUACUCUUAGAGAAGGCAGGUAAUUAAGGAGCAAGGGUGAAAAAGGCUUGAUUAUUUAAAAGAAAAAUCGUGAGGAUGAAAGAUCUUCUCGGAGCAGCCAUCAGAAGAGUAAGGAAAAUCUGUUCUUGGGGUAGGAACAGGGUGGGCAGCAUGGUGAAUGUGUUGAUUUGGGACACACCAGUAACAGAAGGGUCUGUGGUCAUUACAGAUUGAGGCCGCCAUCGGCUCCUAGUGUGAACUUGUUAUCGGAGUAUUUUAUAGUCCACCUGACCAAAAAGAACAACUGGACUGUGAAAUGAUAGAGCAAAUAAAAAAAGCCGUAAAAGAGCCAGACUGAUAGUAAUGGGAGAUUUUAAGUACCUGAGCACAGAGCAGAGUGCAUUAAGUGGGUGAAAUAAAGCUUGAAGUGUGUGUGGAGGAGGCGGUGGGGAGGGGAGAGUGGGAGGUGAGAGGAGGCUGGCGAGGAGGGAGGCGAGUUCUCCGGAGGGGACUGUCUAACUCAGCACCUAACAUAUCAUAGAAUGUAGAAGGGGUAAUUAAAACGAGCAUCUGCAUUAGUGCAUUGGCUCCUGGCCGGGUCAGCCCUAUUCUUUCUCCUGGUCUGUGCAUCCAAGGAAAGUCUUCCACAUCCAGAUUACUACAUCAUCGCAUUGUUCAAAUUGCACUGUUUAGUGUAUUUGUUUAAAAUUUAAAUUGCAUUUCUGGAUUAUAGUUUUAAAACAUGUUUCUGAAUAAAUCUCAAAAUGAGACUUUCUGUACUAGUAAAUAAAUACAUGUAUU
rnacentral:lncRNA from 1 species